rfam:Methanobacterium sp. SWAN-1, complete genome.
UUCGGCGGCCAUAGCGGAGGGGUUCACCUGGUCUCGUUUCGAUCCCAGAAGUAAAGUCCUCCUGCGUUUUGGAUUGUACUGUAGAUUAGCGUCUAUGGGAACUUUGGAACGCUGCCGACC